AUUGAACGCUGGCGGCAGGCCUAACACAUGCAAGUCGAGCGGAUGAGGAGAGCUUGCUCUCUGAUUCAGCGGCGGACGGGUGAGUAAUGCCUAGGAAUCUGCCUGGUAGUGGGGGACAACGUUUCGAAAGGAACGCUAAUACCGCAUACGUCCUACGGGAGAAAGUGGGGGAUCUUCGGACCUCACGCUAUCAGAUGAGCCUAGGUACGAUUAGCUAGUUGGUGAGGUAAAGGCUCACCAAGGCGACGAUCGUUAACUGGUCUGAGAGGAUGAUCAGUCACACUGGAACUGAGACACGGUCCAGACUCCUACGGGAGGCAGCAGUGGGGAAUAUUGGACAAUGGGCGAAAGCCUGAUCCAGCCAUGCCGCGUGUGUGAAGAAGGUCUUCGGAUUGUAAAGCACUUUAAGUUGGGAGGAAGGGCAGUGAGUUAAUACCUUGCUGUUUUGACGUUACCGACAGAAUAAGCACCGGCUAACUUCGUGCCAGCAGCCGCGGUAAAAC
rnacentral:rRNA from 1 species